GACGAACCGUGCGAACGUUGUUCGGAAUCACUGGGCUUAAAGGGCGCGUAGGCGGGCGGCCGCGUCCGGGGUGAAAUGCCACGGCUCAACCGUGGAACGGCCUCGGAUACGGGCGGCCUCGAGGGGGGUAGGGGCAUCUGGAACUGUGAGUGGAGCGGUGAAAUGCGCAGAUAUCAGGAGGAACACCGGUGGCGAAGGCGGGUCUCUGGGCCGAUACUGACGCUGAGGAGCGAAAGCGUGGGGAGCGAACAGG
rnacentral:rRNA from 1 species